GACGAACGCUGGCGGCGUGCUUAACACAUGCAAGUCGAACGGUAAGGCCCUUCGGGGUACACGAGUGGCGAACGGGUGAGUAACACGUGGGUAAUCUGCCCUGCACAUCGGGAUAAGCCUGGGAAACUGGGUCUAAUACCGAAUCGGACUACAGGCCACAUGUCCUGUGGUGGAAAGCUUUUGGGGUGUGGGAUGGGCCCGCGGCCUAUCAGCAUGUUGGUGGGGUGAUGGCCUACCAAGGCGACGACGGGGAGCCGGCCUGGGAGGGUGUCCGGCCACACUGGGACUGAGAUUGGGCCCAGACUCCUACGGGAGGCAGCAGUGGGGAAAAUUGCGCAAUGGGCGAAAGCCUGAUGCAGCGACGCCUCGUGGGGGAUGACGUCCUGCGGGUUGUAAACCGCUUUCUCCAUCGACGAAGGUCCGGGUGUUCUCGGGCUGACGGUAGUGGGAGAAGAAGCACCGGCCAACUACGUG
rnacentral:rRNA from 1 species